CGGGGUGUGGUGUAAUUGGCUAACAUAUGCGCUUUGGGAGCGUAGGAUUCCCGGUUCGAGUCCGGGCACCCCGA
rnacentral:tRNA from 1 species